AGACUAGACAGCAUCUCCAGAACCUUUGUUUACAGCUUUCUGAUUUGGAUAUAUUUGGGAGGACAUUUCUAUUUGCUUGCUAGGGCUGCCGUAACAAAAUACCACAGGCUAGAUGGCUUAAAUAACAGAAACUUAUUUCUCACAAUUCUUGAAGCCACAAGCCUGAGAUCAAGAGAAGCUUGGGGCCAAGCGUGGAGCUCAGUCAUGGAUCGGGUCCAGAGUACCACAUUGCAUUUAAUCUUCCUGUUUCCUUAGUCUCCUGUAUGUGACAGUUUCUUGUGACCUUGACAGCUUUGAGGAAUGCUGGUCAGAUAUUUUGUGGA
rnacentral:lncRNA from 1 species